rnacentral:snRNA from 1 species
AUCGCGUCUUGGCCUUUUGGCUAAGAUCAAGUGUAGCAUUUUUUUUUUUCUUUUUUUGAAACAGAGUCACUCGGUUGCCCAGGCUGGAGUGCAGUGGCACGAUCUCGACUCACUGCAACCUCC